rnacentral:rRNA from 1 species
CAAUAGCGUAUAUUUAAGUUGCUGCAGUUAAAAAGCUCGUAGUUGGAUUUCGGGUGGGAAUGGCCGGUCCGCCGUUUCGGUGUGCACUUGCUACGCCCACCUUGCUGCCGGGGACGUGCUCUUGAGUUCACGCUCGGGACACGGAGUCGGCGAGGUUACUUUGAGUAAAUUAGAGUGUUCAAAGCGGGCUUACGCUUGAAUAUAUUAGCAUGGAAUAACACCAUAGGACUCCUGUCCUAUUUCGUUGGUCUCGGGACGGGAGUAAUGAUUAAGAGGAACAGUUGGGGGCAUUCGUAUUUCAUUGUCAGAGGUGAAAUUCUUGGAUUUAUGAAAGACGAACUUCUGCGAAAGCAUUUGCCAAGGAUGUUUUCAUUAA